UUUAGGGUUGUAAACUGCUUAAGAUACGGAAUGAAAAAUCUUUUAUAAUAAAGAGGGUACAUGACGAAACAGCAAGAAUAAACUCCGUCUAAGCUAGGUGCCAGCAGCCGCGGGGAUCAAGUAGUUUACAAGAAUUAAUGGGAAUAAAGGGGGGUAAAGCGUGUGCAGGCGGUUUUGAUUAAGACUGAGGUGAAAUCCCCGGGCUCAACCGGGGAAAUGCCUUUGAGACUGCAAGGAUAGAGUGCGGCAGAAUGGGAUGGAAUUCCGUGUAUAGCAGUUGAAAUGCGUAGAUAUGUGGAGGAACACGGAUGCAGAAGGCAAUCCCAUGGACAUGCAGGCACGAUCGUGCGGGAAAGCAAACGGGAGCAAACAGCAUUAUAUACCCUGCUAGUACACGCCAUAAACGAUGUCAACUGGUUGGAGCAACUAUUACUACUCAGUAACGAAGCUAACGCG
rnacentral:rRNA from 1 species